rnacentral:rRNA from 1 species
GAUGAACGCUGGCGGCGUGCCUAAUACAUGCAAGUCGAACGCAUAGCGAAAGGUGCUUGCCCCUUUCAAGUGAGUGGCGAACGGGUGAGUAACACGUGGACAACCUGCCUCAAGGCUGGGGAUAACAUUUGGAAACAGAUGCUAAUACCGAAUAAAACUUAGUGUCGCAUGACACAAAGUUAAAAGGCGCUUCGGCGUCACCUAGAGAUGGAUCCGCGGUGCAUUAGUUAGUUGGUGGGGUAAAGGCCUACCAAGACAAUGAUGCAUAGCCGAGUUGAGAGCCGAAUGGGCACAAUUGGAACUGAGACAGGGCCCAACCUCCUACGGGAGGCGGCAGUAGGGAAUCUUCAACAAUGGGCGAAGCCUGAUGGAGCAACGCCGCGUGUGUGAUGAAGGCUUUCGGGUCGUAAAGCACUGUUGUAUGGGAAGAACAGCUAGAAUAGGAAAUGAUUUUAGUUUGACGGUACCAUACCAGAAAGGGACGGCUAAAUACGUG